rnacentral:rRNA from 1 species
UUGAACGCUGGCGGUAUGCUUAACACAUGCAAGUCGAACGGAAACGAUACUAGCUUGCUAGUAGGCGUCGAGUGGCGGACGGGUGAGUAACGCGUAGGAAUCUGCCUGAUAGUGGGGGAUAGCCCGAAGAAAUUCGGAUUAAUACCGCAUAAUCUAUUCGUAGUAAAGUGGGGGACUUUCGAGCCUCACGCUAUCAGAUGAGCCUGCGUAAGAUUAGCUUGUUGGUAGGGUAAAAGCCUACCAAGGCGACGAUCUUUAGCUGGUCUGAGAGGAUGAUCAGCCACAUCGGGACUGAGACACGGCCCGAACUCCUACGGGAGGCAGCAGUGGGGAAUAUUGGACAAUGGGGGCAACCCUGAUCCAGCAAUACCGCGUGUGUGAAGAAGGCCUGAGGGUUGUAAAGCACUUUCAAUUGUGAAGAAAAGUUAGCGGUUAAUAACCGUUAGCCUUGACGUUAACUUUAGAAGAAGCACCGGCUAACUCCGUGCCAGCAGCCGCGGUAAUACGGAGGGUGCAAGCGUUAAUCGGAAUUACUGGGCGUAAAGCGUGCGUAGGCGGUUUAUUAAGUCAGAUGUGAAAGCCCCGGGCUUAACCUGGGAACUGCAUUUGAAACUGGUCAACUAGAGUAUGGUAGAGGAAAGUGGAAUUUCUGGUGUAGCGGUGAAAUGCGUAGAUAUCAGAAGGAACAUCAAUGGCGAAGGCAGCUUUCUGGACCAAUACUGACGCUGAGGUACGAAAGCGUGGGUAGCAAACAGGAUUAGAUACCCUGGUAGUCCACGCCGUAAACGAUGAUAACUAGCCGUUGGGGGGAUUUACCCUUUAGUGGCGAAGCUAACGCGUUAAGUUAUCCGCCUGGGGAGUACGGCCGCAAGGUUAAAACUCAAAGGAAUUGACGGGGACCCGCACAAGCGGUGGAGCAUGUGGUUUAAUUCGAUGCAACGCGAAGAACCUUACCUGGUCUUGACAUCCUGCGAACUUUCUAGAAAUAGAUUGGUGCCUUCGGGAACGCAGUGACAGGUGCUGCAUGGCUGUCGUCAGCUCGUGUCGUGAGAUGUUGGGUUAAGUCCCGUAACGAGCGCAACCCCUAUCCUUAUUUGCCAGCACAUCAUGGUGGGAACUAUAAGGAGACUGCCGGUGAUAAACCGGAGGAAGGCGGGGACGACGUCAAGUCAUCAUGGCCCUUACGACCAGGGCUACACACGUGCUACAAUGGGAAGGACAAAGAGCCGCGAAGCCGCGAGGUGUAGCUAAUCUCAUAAACCUUUUCGUAGUCCGGAUUGGAGUCUGCAACUCGACUCCAUGAAGUCGGAAUCGCUAGUAAUCGUAGAUCAGAAUGCUACGGUGAAUACGUUCCCGGGUCUUGUACACACCGC